CAGGUUUCUGCUGAUCUUGCAGCGCCCAGAAAUGGACCGAGUGGACCCGCCGCCGCACGCACUCUGCCCCACUCGGAGCUCCUAACGGCUCCACGCGCGCCGAGGAGCCUCAGCGAGGUCCACGCUGGGGUGCGGGAAGCGGAGGGGAUCCGAGAGCCAUGUAGAUCCAGGCUCUUGCUCGCGCUUCUCCUUCGGGAUCGAAUCAAGGGCUCCCAUAGUGUUAGGAGGGGGCGAGAGUGCUGUUUAUCGUCAUUUGCUUCCGAGCCUCGGGAGAGGGUGGCAUUUUGCUUUUCCUCCCCGCAUCCUCCGGAACUCCCUGCACCAGCGAGAGGACUGCGUCCUUAGGUUGCUGGCAACCGGUGAGAAUGGGGGUAGGGAACGGACACUUCCGCCGUAGUGGCUCACUCAAUCGACUGUCCCACUGAAGGGGCGUAGGACGAGGGGGCGAGAGCGGCGACUUUGCCAAGCGCCUCUCGGAUGCUGCCACGGCGCCGGCCGCCGCUCCCGCCCGGGUACUGCAAAGGCGACCUGCCGCAUUCCGACUCGGGCUCUCCGCCGACUCAGCACCGCCCCUGCGCCAAGCCGGCCGGCCAGGUGCUCACAAUGACCAGUACCCUGGAGAACUCUGGAAUAAAUCCAUCUGGGCCUUUGAAAAUGGAGGUAGGACGUGGUGUCAUUUAAUGGGAACUUUUGCUUAUUUAUUCAGCCCAUCGUGAUGUCAGACAUCUUAAG
rnacentral:lncRNA from 1 species